UACAGAGGGUGCAAGCGUUGUUCGGAAUUAUUGGGCGUAAAGCGCGUGUAGGCGGCUUUGCAAGUCGGGUGUGAAAGCCCUCAGCUUAACUGAGGAAGUGCGCCCGAAACUGCAGAGCUUGAGUACCGGAGAGGAUGGUGGAAUUCCCCAAGUAGAGGUGAAAUUCGUAGAUAUGGGGAGGAACACCGGUGGCGAAGGCGACCAUCUGGACGGAUACUGACGCUGAGAUGCGAAAGCGUGGGUAGCAAACAGG
rnacentral:rRNA from 1 species